GCACUUGGAGCCCAGGGCAGGGUUCACAGAGCUAUUUUCAGUUCUCUUGCAGGAUCUCCUUCCCAGCCUUCAGAAAUUGCCGGUCUGGGAGUUGGGGGCAAGGAGAAGAUCCUGCAACCCAGUGAUUCCAUGGAAAGCAGAAAGAAGGACAUAAAGAAACGGAUACUUGGUGACAUCUUUGACUCACUGGAUCAAACCUUGCCUGAAGCUCACAUUUCUGAAAUUUCCAGAUACAAGAACAAAUACUUCCUCUUUAUUGUUUUACUAGAUUUGAGACAAGCUUUAAGUUUCUCAGACUCUUCCUCUUCCUAACAGAUUUAUCAGAAGCUGAAAGCUCUGAUCUUGUUGGGAUGCGGAUCGUGUCAGGAGAAGGCUUACUUUGCACGCUUUUCUUAGUCUGGUUGCCUAACUCAAGAACCUCGGCAUGGCUCUGUUACUUCUCUACUCAGACAAGCAUCCCUGCAGACACUCACUAGGCUAACUCUGUCUUUAUUUUUAGAAUUAGACCUUUACGAGAAGCACAGUUUUGUCUUCAGUUUCCUCUCCCCCCACCCGGAAUGGCCUGAGCCGAAGCCAGCUCCCUCCGAGAAGUCAUUACCGCCUGACUUGCGUUUGAUAUUUAGACACCUUGGUCACAACAUCUUGCAUUCUCUCGGGAUGCUGAUUUCUAACUGCUCUUUGGCCUUUCCUGCAUUGGUCCUCCUCAGGCAGGGGAUCCCUGCUCUUCUAUAUUAGUGAGAAAACCAAGGCUCAGAGAAACUGUGGAUUUUCUAAGGAUGCUGGCUCCCCGUCCCCUGUCCACCAUGAGUCAAAGCAAUGUGAGUCCCUCACCAGAUGCAACUGCCCAGUCUUGGACUUUCCAGUGACCAGAAUCAUGAGCCAAAUAAACCUCUUUUCUUUAUG
rnacentral:lncRNA from 1 species